UAAACAGGCAAUUUCGGUCCCGGACGCAGCACUGGAAGAAGCACUUUACUUUCAUCUUUUAUAGCUUUAUUUACUUUUAUUAUGUUAUUUUUGGCGGAGGCGCGUAAGGCGCGUGUCCGUCCCUCGAAUGCUUUGUGAUCACGUGAUUAUUCAAACGGGAGACGCGCGAUCUGGAUUAACCGCUAUUCUCCUCAGACGAGUGAUGACCUCUGUGGUAUUAUGAGAUCCCUUUCUUGGUGUGUCUUGAUGUUUUAUAUUGGCUAAAGACAAGAUAUGUCUGCAAAUGCCGGUUCCAUGUCACAUGGCUUAUUCGAGACAAGAUCCACAAAAAACUCUGCAGAUUUUGUUACCAUCAACUUGCAUUAUACAACUGACAGACUGAAACGGUUGGACACAAAAAUCUACAUUUGUGUUCCACUGGAGAAACAAAGUCACCUACAUCUUGGAUGGCCUGGGGACUACCUGACCUGUUCCUGUUAAGAGCUAGUCACUCUUUGUGGAAUGUUCCUGGCCCAUUUUUUUCCACAUUUUUACAAAAGUUUUUUCAAUGACCUCAAAAUUGAUGUGUAAAAAUAAUAAUAAACUUGAAUUUGUUUAAAUAUG